AGACCCGAAACCAAGUGAUCUAUCCAUGGCCAGGUUGAAGGUGCCGUAACAGGUACUGGAGGACCGAACCCACUAGUGUUGCAAAACUAGGGGAUGAGCUGUGGAUAGGGGUGAAAGGCUAAACAAACUUGGAAAUAGCUGGUUCUCUCCGAAAACUAUUUAGGUAGUGCCUCACGUAUCACUCUCGGGGGUAGAGCACUGUCAUGGCUAGGGGGUCAUCGCGACUUACCAAACCAUAGCAAACUCCGAAUACCGAGAAGUGCGAGCGUGGGAGACAGACAUCGGGUGCUAACGUCCGGUGUCAAGAGGGAAACAACCCAGACCGCCAGCUAAGGUCCCAAAUGACGUGCUAAGUGGUAAACGAAGUGGGAAGGCAUAGACAGCCAGGAUGUUGGCUUAGAAGCAGCCAUCAUUUAAAGAAAGCGUAAUAGCUCACUGGUCGAGUCGUCCUGCGCGGAAGAUGUAACGGGG
rnacentral:rRNA from 1 species